rnacentral:tRNA from 1 species
ACAUCGGUAGCACAGUGGUUAGUGCAGUCUGCCGAAUCCAGAAAGACGCGGGUUCAAUUUCCGUCCGAUGUC